rnacentral:lncRNA from 1 species
GAGUUGUACCACACAGCGCCCAUGCCAAGGUCAGCAGUCUGAAUGGAGCUGAGACACUUACUGCCCGUGCCAAGCAGUGCCAAGCACCUCUGGAAGCCCCUGCCUAGGACCCCCAAAUUUAGAUUCAUGCUGCAGUCUGGAGAGUGUUUUGACGGCUGCCGGGCUACAGGGAAAAGCGCACUGCACACUGCCUCUGAGAUGAGACAGAGCUCUCCAGGCUGGGAGUCUGGGGAAGCCGGACCUGGGUAGCGCUGCUCAGGUCUAUCCCUCACAACAGCUUCAUUCAGAGGGAAUCGCCAUCUUCUUACUGGGUAUGAACCGGAGCCCUGACUGAGAAAGCUGGCAGCUUUGGACCAUUUUCCUAACAGAUGAGAUUUCUGGAGAUUCGCUUCUCAUUCUUUGAGGGAAAAGCGGAGCCCUGUUCAGCAUUGGUCACCAGGUUGCAGGGGCAUCACUUCCUUUAUCCAGCAUCCUGCCUCUGCACCAUGUGAAGAAACCAACCCACUUUCCAAUGGCAAACCCAAGUUCAUGCAGACCAUAUUCUCCAACGUCUGUACUUCCCCUACCAGUUGGAUCUGUGUUCUUUUGCAGUUCUGGGGACUUUUCAAGACUCUACUGACUAAAUCUGCAAAGAGUGCCGAUAAUGCAACUCUUAAGCUGGCUUUCUGAGCUAUCAUGAUGUCUUUCCCUCUCUUUGUGCCCAAGACCGUGUGCUCUCUUGCCUUUGAAGAUCCAUGAUGUUUGAAACUCAUGAGACCCAAGGCAGAAGUGUCCAGACAACUAGGAGCUAAGUCAAGCUGCUUGCAUUCGCAAGCCAGGACUUGACUGGAGGGAAUACAAUAGAGGUGCAGACACUUCUGUGCUAACCUGUGAGUGCCUUUGGACCAUGAAAAUAAUGUGUCUGUGGGAAAGACAAUGGGUGGUUGCUUGUUGAUGCCUCCUGGGGUGCUGUUUGAUGAGCUCUGAAAUACGCACUCUGCUCACACACAGGGUCACAGAAGGCACGGGGAUCUUAAGUGCACUCGUUCUAGGGUCAUCAGUGAGCUGACACUAUGUGCAGAUGAGCCCCUCUGCUUCUCCUGGAAUCAUCAUUAGAUGGCCAGGAAGGAUCUCCGUGUUGGACUCCUCCAUUCUGAUACAUCCUGUCUUCAGGGAUAGAAAAUGUUCCUGGGGGAACACGGGAGCUAAAGAAACCUCAGCUUUUCUCGAGUGUCUGGAUUAUUCUGAACUACAUGGAUUAUGUUCAAGCCCAGGAUGAGUGGCUCAAAGCGUGGCUGUGAGUGAGUGAGACGAAGAAAAAUUGGGAUCAUAUUUUAUUCAACCAAGAGAAAUGGAAUCCAGCAUAGUAGAUUUCAUGUUCUUGGGAAAUAUGUCCUGUCAAUGGUGUUAUUGAGAAGAUAGGCAGAGAACACGUUCUCCCAGACAAGGAAGAGAAGAAGAUGUGGCCUUGGCUUUGUGAGCUGUGGCAGGGAGGGACCUAGCAUGGGAGCAAAGGUCUCUGGAAGCUUCCAGACAAACAAGUGUGGGUGUCGUUUGUCAGCUCCCUGAGAGUGGGUAUCGCAGAAGACUUCCUGUGUUUUCUGUGGAUAAAUACACAAAACUAUGCAUUACUGCAACACAAGCAGGCUUUAUACAUUUCUUUGGUUUUAACAAUUGCAUUAGAAACUUUGCUCUCCCCUGAAUCCUAA